CCUACGGGUGGCAGCAGUGGAGAAUAAUGCACGAUGGGGGAAACGCUGAUGGAGCGAAGCCGCGUGGGGGAAUGAAGGUCUACGGAUUGUAAACCCCUGUCAUGUGGGAGCAAAUUAAAAAGAUAGUACCACAAGAGGAAGAGACGGAUAACUAUGUGCGAGCAGCCGCGGUAAUACAGAGGUCUAAAGCGGUGUUCGGAAUCACUGGGCGUAAAGCGUUCGUAGGCUGUUUCGUAAGGCGAGUGUGAAAGGCGCGGGCUCAACCCGCGGACCGCACAUGAUACUGCGAGACUAGAGUAAUCGAGGAGGAUCCGGAAUUCUCGGUGUAGCAGUGAAAUGCGUAGAUAUCGAGAGGAACACUCGUUGCGAAGGCGGGUUCCUGGACAUUAACUGACGCUGAGGCACGAAGGCCAGGGGAGCGAAAGGGAUUAGAUACCCGAGUAGUC
rnacentral:rRNA from 1 species